ACCGGAGCUUGCUCCACCGGAAAAAGAAGAGUGGCGAACGGGUGAGUAACACGUGGGUAACCUGCCCAUCAGAAGGGGAUAACACUUGGAAACAGGUGCUAAUACCGUAUAACAAUCGAAACCGCAUGGUUUUGAUUUGAAAGGCGCUUUCGGGUGUCGCUGAUGGAUGGACCCGCGGUGCAUUAGCUAGUUGGUGAGGUAACGGCUCACCAAGGCCACGAUGCAUAGCCGACCUGAGAGGGUGAUCGGCCACAUUGGGACUGAGACACGGCCCAAACUCCUACGGGAGGCAGCAGUAGGGAAUCUUCGGCAAUGGACGAAAGUCUGACCGAGCAACGCCGCGUGAGUGAAGAAGGUUUUCGGAUCGUAAAACUCUGUUGUUAGAGAAGAACAAGGAUGAGAGUAACUGUUCAUCCCUUGACGGUAUCUAACCAGAAAGCCACGGCUAACUACGUGCCAGCAGCCGCGGUAAUACGUAGGUGGCAAGCGUUGUCCGGAUUUAUUGGGCGUAAAGCGAGCGCAGGCGGUUUCUUAAGUCUGAUGUGAAAGCCCCCGGCUCAACCGGGGAGGGUCAUUGGAAACUGGGAGACUUGAGUGCAGAAGAGGAGAGUGGAAUUCCAUGUGUAGCGGUGAAAUGCGUAGAUAUAUGGAGGAACACCAGUGGCGAAGGCGGCUCUCUGGUCUGUAACUGACGCUGAGGCUCGAAAGCGUGGGGAGCAAACAGGAUUAGAUACCCUGGUAGUCCACGCCGUAAACGAUGAGUGCUAAGUGUUGGAGGGUUUCCGCCCUUCAGUGCUGCAGCUAACGCAUUAAGCACUCCGCCUGGGGAGUACGACCGCUAGGUUGAAACUCAAAGGAAUUGACGGGGGCCCGCACA
rnacentral:rRNA from 1 species